rnacentral:rRNA from 1 species
AAGCGUCUGUAGGUGGUUUGGUAAGUUUUUCGUCAAAUCUAAAGGCUCAACCUUUAGGCUGCGAAAAAAACUGCCAGACUUGAGGAUGGUAGAGGUAGAUGGAAUUGCCGGUGUAGCGGUAAAAUGCGUUAAUAUCGGCAAGAACACCAAAUGCGAAGGCUUUCUACUGGAACACUCCUGACACUGAGAGACGAAAGCGUGGGUAGCGAAUGGGAUUAGAUACCCCAGUAGUCCACGCCGUAAACGAUGGAUGCUUGACAUUGGAAGUUUCGACCCUUUCAGUGUCGUUUAACCAAGCUAACGCAUUAAGCAUCCCGCCUGGGUAGUACGAGCGCAAGCUUAAAACUCAAAGGAAUUGACGGGGACCCGCACAAGCGGUGGAGCAUGUGGUUUAAUUCGAUAAUAAACGAGGAACCUCACCAGGACUUGACAUUUAGCUGCAAACCCUAAGAAACUAGGGUGCCUUCGAGGGUGCUAAACAGGUGCUGCAUGGUUGUCGUCAGCUCGUGUCGUGAGAUGUACCGUUAAGUCGGGUAACGAGCGCAACCCCUACACUGUGUUAAAUCAUUCACAGAGAACUGCCCGAACACAUCGGGAGGAAGGCGGGGAUGACGUCAAAUCAGCAUGGCUCUUACGUUCUGGGCCACACACGUGCUACAAUGGCCGGUACAACGGGCUGCUAAGCCGAAAGGCGGAGCCAAUCCCAUCAAAACCGGUCUCAGUUCAGAUUGAGGUCUGCAACUCGACCUCAUGAAGUCGGAAUCGCUAGUAACCGCGUAUCAGCUAUGGCGCGGUGAAUACGUUCUCGGGUCUUGUACACACCGCCCGUCACAUCAAGGGAGUUUCUAGUACCCAAAUGCCGUCGUAUGACGGCAAAAGGUAAGAGAAAUGACAGGGAUGAAGUCGUAACAAGGUA